rnacentral:rRNA from 1 species
AUUGAACGCUGGCGGCAUGCCUUACACAUGCAAGUCGAACGGUAACAGGUUAAGCUGACGAGUGGCGAACGGGUGAGUAAUAUAUCGGAACGUGCCCAGUCGUGGGGGAUAACGUAGCGAAAGCUACGCUAAUACUGCAUACGAUCUACGGAUGAAAGCGGGGGAUCGCAAGACCUCGCGCGAUUGGAGCGGCCGAUAUCAGAUUAGGUUGUUGGUGAGGUAAAAGCUCACCAAGCCUGCGAUCUGUAGCUGGUCUGAGAGGACGACCAGCCACACUGGAACUGAGACACGGUCCAGACUCCUACGGGAGUCAGCAGUGGGGAAUUUUGGACAAUGGACGCAAGUCUGAUCCAGCAAUGCCGCGUGCAGGACGAAGGCCUUCGGGUUGUAAACUGCUUUUGUACGGAACGAAACGGUGAGCUCUAAUACAGUUUGCUAAUGACGGUACCGUAAGAAUAAGCACCGGCUAACUACGUGCCAGCCGCCGCGGUAA